rnacentral:rRNA from 1 species
AGAGUUUGAUCAUGGCUCAGGACGAACGCUGGCGGCGUGCCUAAUACAUGCAAGUCGAGCGAACUUGCCUAGAUGAUUUUAGUGCUUGCACUAAAUGAAACUAGAUACAAGCGAGCGGCGGACGGGUGAGUAACACGUGGGUAACCUGCCCAAGAGACUGGGAUAACACCUGGAAACAGAUGCUAAUACCGGAUAACAACACUAGACGCAUGUCUAGAGUUUGAAAGAUGGUUCUGCUAUCACUCUUGGAUGGACCUGCGGUGCAUUAGCUAGUUGGUAAGGUAACGGCUUACCAAGGCAAUGAUGCAUAGCCGAGUUGAGAGACUGAUCGGCCACAUUGGGACUGAGACACGGCCCAAACUCCUACGGGAGGCAGCAGUAGGGAAUCUUCCACAAUGGACGAAAGUCUGAUGGAGCAACGCCGCGUGAGUGAAGAAGGGUUUCGGCUCGUAAAGCUCUGUUGGUAGUGAAGAAAGAUAGAGGUAGUAACUGGCCUUUAUUUGACGGUAAUUACUUAGAAAGUCACGGCUAACUACGUGCCAGCAGCCGCGGUAAUACGUAGGUGGCAAGCGUUGUCCGGAUUUAUUGGGCGUAAAGCGAGUGCAGGCGGUUCAAUAAGUCUGAUGUGAAAGCCUUCGGCUCAACCGGAGAAUUGCACCAGAAACUGUUGAACUUGAGUGCAGAAGAGGAGAGUGGAACUCCAUGUGUAGCGGUGGAAUGCGUAGAUAUAUGGAAGAACACCAGUGGCGAAGGCGGCUCUCUGGUCUGCAACUGACGCUGAGGCUCGAAAGCAUGGGUAGCGAACAGGAUUAGAUACCCUGGUAGUCC